rnacentral:rRNA from 1 species
CCUACGGAGGCAGCAGUAGGGAAUAUUGCUCAAUGGGGGGAACCCUGAAGCAGCAACGCCGCGUGGAGGAUGAGGGUUUUAGGAUUGUAAACUCCUUUUGUGAGAGGAGAUAAUGACGGUAUCUCACGAAUAAGCACCGGCUAACUCCGUGCCAGCCGCCGCGGUAAUACGGAGGGUGCAAGGGUUACGCGGAAUCACUGGGCGUAAAGAGUGCGCAGGCGGGCUUGUAAGUCCGAUGUGAAAUCCUUUAGCUUAACUACAGAACUGCAUUUGAAACUAUGAGUCUAGAGUGUGGGAGAGGUAGGUGGAAUUAUUGGUGUAGGGGUAAAAUGCGUAGAUAUCAAGAGGAAUACUCAUUGCGAAGGCGACCUACUGGAACAUUACUGACGCUCAUGCACGAAAGCGUGGGGAGCAAACAGGAUUAGAUACCCCAGUAGUC